AGAGUUUGAUCAUGGCUCAGGAUGAACGCUAGCUACAGGCUUAACACAUGCAAGUCGAGGGGCAGCAUGACGAUAGCUUGCUAUGUUGAUGGCGACCGGCGCACGGGUGAGUAACGCGUAUCCAACUUCCCCUUAGUAGGGCAUAGCCCGGCGAAAGUCGGAUUAAUACCCUAUGUUAUUCGUCGAGGACAUCUGAAAUGAAUCAAAGGUUUACCGCUAAGGGAUGGGGAUGCGUCUGAUUAGGUAGUAGGCGGGGUAACGGCCCACCUAGCCGACGAUCAGUAGGGGUUCUGAGAGGAAGGUCCCCCACAUUGGAACUGAGACACGGUCCAAACUCCUACGGGAGGCAGCAGUGAGGAAUAUUGGUCAAUGGGCGCGAGCCUGAACCAGCCAAGUAGCGUGCAAGGAUGACGGCCCUAUGGGUUGUAAACUGCUUUUAUGCGGGGAUAAAGUGCGGCACGUGUGCCGUUUUGUAGGUACCGCAUGAAUAAGGGCCGGCUAAUUCCGUGCCAGCAGCAGC
rnacentral:rRNA from 1 species